UACGUAGGGUGCGAGCGUUGUCCGGAAUUAUUGGGCGUAAAGGGUUUGUAGGUGGCCCGCUAAGUCACACGUGAAAUCCCUCAGCUUAACUGGGGAACUGCGUGUGAGACUGGCAGGCUCGAGGGCAGGAGAGGAACGCGGAAUUCCAGGUGUAGCGGUGAAAUGCGUAGAUAUCUGGAGGAACACCGGUGGCGAAGGCGGCGUUCUGGACUGUCUCUGACACUGAAGAACGAAAGCCAGGGGAGCAAACGGG
rnacentral:rRNA from 1 species